CGUGGCCUAGUGGUUAACACGUUGGGCUAAUAACCCAACGGUCGCAGGUU
rnacentral:tRNA from 1 species